AUGGGUGAUGUUGAGAAAGGCAAGAUUUUUGUUCAGAAGUGUGCCCACUGCCACACCAUGGAAAAGGGAGGCAAACACAAGACUGGGACUAAUCUCCAUGGUCUCUUCAUGUGAAAGACAGAUCAGGCUGUUGGAUUCUGUUAACACAGACGCCAAUAAGAACAAAGGCAUCACCUGGAGAGAGGAUGCACUGAUGAAAUAUUUGGAGAAUCCCAAGAAGUAGAUAUCUGGAACAAAAAUGAUCUUUGCUGGCAUUAAGAAGGCAGAAAGAAGGCAGAAAGGGCAGAUUUGAUAGCUUAUAUAAAAAAAAAGCUACUAUG
rnacentral:lncRNA from 10 species